UACGGAAGGUCCGGGCGUUAUCCGGAUUUAUUGGGUUUAAAGGGAGCGUAGGCCGUCUGGUAAGCGUGUUGUGAAAUGUCGGGGCUCAACCUGGGCAUUGCAGCGCGAACUGUCAGACUUGAGUGCGUGGGAAGUAGGCGGAAUUCGUCGUGUAGCGGUGAAAUGCUUAGAUAUGACGAAGAACUCCGAUUGCGAAGGCAGCCUGCUGUAGCGCAACUGACGCUGAAGCUCGAAAGCGUGGGUAUCGAACAGG
rnacentral:rRNA from 1 species